AUUGGUUGCCUGAAUGUGAAAUUAUUAAAAAUUUGAUCAUUUAUUAGAUUGCACGUCCGAAAUGAUUCUGACGUGCAAAUCGAUCGUCUCAAUUUGGUAUAGGGACGAAAGACUAAUCGAACAAUCUAAUAAUUGGUUUCUUCUGAAGUUUUGUUCAAGAGAGCUGGAAUGAAGCUGUUAUAUUCGGAAAAGCGAAUGAUUAGAGGAAUUGUGGGAUGAAACGUCUUCAACCUCUUUUCAAACUUUCAAUGAGUAUGACGUCUCGUUUGCUUAGGUGAAACGUAGACAUUGAACGUGUACUCCACGUGAACUAUUUCUGAUAAACAGAAAUGGCACGCUGUGAGAUGAAUCAAACAUUGAGUGAAAGUAUAAGUCUUCUGCUCAAGCGUCAUCCGUUUUCAGAGUUAGUUGAUGCAGAACAGUAUUUAAUUC
rnacentral:ncRNA from 1 species